rnacentral:rRNA from 1 species
UACAGAGGUCCCAAGCGUUGUUCGGAUUCAUUGGGCGUAAAGGGUGCGUAGGCGGCGCGGUAAGUCGGGUGUGAAAUCUCGGAGCUUAACUCCGAAACUGCAUUCGAUACUGCCGUGCUUGAGGACUGGAGAGGAGACUGGAAUUUACGGUGUAGCGGUGAAAUGCGUAGAUAUCGUAAGGAAGACCAGUGGCGAAGGCGGGUCUCUG